rnacentral:rRNA from 1 species
GUGAGGAAUAUUGGUCAAUGGGCGAAAGCCCGAACCAGCAACGCCGCGUGGAGGAUGAAGGCCUUCGGGUUGUAAACUUCUUUUACAGGAGACGAGCAAGGACGGUAUCCUGUGAAUAAGCCACGGCAAACUACGUGCCAGCAGCCGCGGUAAUACGUAGGUGGCGAGCGUUAUCCGGAUUCACUGGGCGUAAAGCGCUUGUAGGUGGUUCUGUAAGUUGGGUGUGAAAUCUUCGGGCUUAACUCGGAGUGGCCGCUCAAUACUGCAGGACUUGAGGAUGUCAGAGGGAGAUGGAAUUCCUGGUGUAGUGGUGAAAUGCGUAGAUAUCAGGAGGAACACCCGUGGCGAAGGCGGUCUCCUGGGACACUCCUGACACUGAGAAGCGACAGCUAGGGGAGCGAACGGGAUUAGAUACCCCAGUAGUCC